rnacentral:rRNA from 1 species
CCUUUAGAAUAUAAUUUAAGGUCUAAUCUGCCCACUGAGGAAUUAAAUGGCCGCGGUAUUUUGACCGUGCGAAGGUAGCAUAAUCAUUAGUUUUUUAAUUGAGAGCUGGAAUGAAAGAUUGGAUGAGAAAAUGACUGUCUCAAAUUAAUUUACUUAGAAUUUUAUUUUUAAGUUAAAAAGCUUAAAUAAUUUUAAAAGACGAGAAGACCCUAUAGAGUUUAAUAUUUUUUUAUUUUAAUAUUUAAUUGUUUUAAAAAGUUUUAAUUUAAAAUAGUAUUUUGUUGGGGUGACAGAAAAAUUUAAUAAACUUUUUUUUUAUUCUAAUACUUAUAAGUAAAUUAUUGAUCCAAAAUUUUUGAUUAUAAGAUUAAAUUACCUUAGGGAUAACAGCGUAAUUUUUUUUGAGAGUUCUUAUCGAAAAAGAAGAUUGCGACCUCGAUGUUGGAUUAAAAUUAAGUUUUGGUGUAGAAGCUAAAAUUUUAGGUCUGUUCGACCUUUAAAACUUU